GACAGGAGCCUAGCAUGACCAUCAUCAGAGAGGCUUCACCCAGCAACUGAUGGGAACAGCUGCAAAGAACAACACCCAAGCAUUAGGCGGAGCUCAGGGAAUCUUAUGGAAGAGGAGGAAGAAGGAUCGAAGGAGCCAGAGAGGUUAAGACCACCACAAGAAAACUUAAAGACUCUUCUAACCUGGGCCCACAGGAGCUCACAGAGACUGAGCCACCAACCAGAGAGCAUGCACAGGAUGGACCUAUGCCCCUACACAUAAGUAACAGACGUGCAGCCUGGUCUUCAUGUAGAUCCCCUGACAGCAGAACAGGAGCUGUCUCCAACUCUGCCGUCUGCCUUUGGGUGCCUUUCCCCUAACUACUUUGUCUAGCCUCAGUAGAAGAUGCACUUGGUCCUACUGCAACUUCAUAUGCCAAAGUAGUUAAUAUCCAUGGAUGGCCUCCCUUUCUCUGCAGAGAAGACAAGAGGGGAGUGUGGGAAGGGGAGAGGAGAGUGAGAGGCUGGGAGGAGAAGAGGGAGGGGAAGUUUAGAUCUGAUAUAAAAAAAAUUAAUGGAAAAAAGAGGAGUAGGUGUGGCCCUGUUGGAGUAGCUGUGGCCCUGUGUCCACUAUGACAACAGGAUAUCCAUCCAUAAGCGAAAGGAAUAAAUAAGUGAAUGCCACCCUAUGUCACAUCCUUCAUGCAAAACACUAAGGCAGCAGAUCACAGACUUUAAUGUGAAACACAAAACUGUGCUAGCUUUAUGACAAAAAUCUUU
rnacentral:lncRNA from 1 species